CACGUAGGGUGCGAGCGUUGUCCGGAAUUAUUGGGCGUAAAGAGCUCGUAGGCGGUGUGUCGCGUCGGCCGUGAAAACCUGCAGCUUAACUGUGGGCUUGCGGUCGAUACGGGCAUCACUGGAGUUCGGCAGGGGAGACUGGAAUUCCUGGUGUAGCGGUGAAAUGCGCAGAUAUCAGGAGGAACACCCGUAGCGAAGGCGGCACUCUGGGCCGGUACUGACGCUGAGGAGCGAAAGCGUGGGGAGCAAACAGG
rnacentral:rRNA from 1 species